UUCUGGGAGAAAAGUUCAUGAUGUAAUUCAUGAAAGUAGGCUGUUUAUAUAAUUACAUGUACAUGCAAACAGAAUUUUCUUGUUGUAAACCUGGAAUAUUCGAAUGCGAAUGCAGUUGAUUUUGCCCGGAAUCCAGUUGUACGUAACAUUUUUGGUUAAGCAUGCACACUUAAAAUUUAGAAUAUAUCCCAUCUAUAUAAAAAAGAAUGUGUGGUAUGAUCCACAAGAGACCAACAUGACACAGACAUUAACAGCUAUCGGUCACCGUACGGCCUUCAACAAUGAGCAAAGCCCAUACCGCAUAGUCAGCAAUAAAAGGCCCCAAUAUGACAAUGUAAAACAAUUCAAACAAAAAACACGAGAAAACUAAAGCCUUUUUUUGUAUAAAAAAAAAUGAACGAAAAACAAAUAUAUAUGUAAUAUGUAACACAUAAACAAAUGACAAC
rnacentral:lncRNA from 1 species